GAUGAACGCUGGCGGCGUGCCUAAUACAUGCAAGUCGAGCGAACAGACGAGGAGCUUGCUCCUCUGACGUUAGCGGCGGACGGGUGAGUAACACGUGGAUAACCUACCUAUAAGACUGGGAUAACUUCGGGAAACCGGAGCUAAUACCGGAUAAUAUAUUGAACCGCAUGGUUCAAUAGUGAAAGACGGUUUUGCUGUCACUUAUAGAUGGAUCCGCGCCGCAUUAGCUAGUUGGUAAGGUAACGGCUUACCAAGGCGACGAUGCGUAGCCGACCUGAGAGGGUGAUCGGCCACACUGGAACUGAGACACGGUCCAGACUCCUACGGGAGGCAGCAGUAGGGAAUCUUCCGCAAAGGGCGAAAGCCUGACGGAGCAACGCCGCGUGAGUGAUGAAGGUCUUCGGAUCGUAAAACUCUGUUAUUAGGGAAGAACAAAUGUGUAAGUAACUAAGCACGUCUUGACGGUACCUAAUCAGAAAGCCACGGCUAACUACGUG
rnacentral:rRNA from 1 species